rnacentral:rRNA from 1 species
UUACCGCGGCUGCUGGCACCAGACUUAGGCGCUCCAUAUCGUAUCUUAAAUUGUCCGCAUCUAACAAGCUCGUAGUUUGAAAACUUGCCUUGGCUUACAUUCGGUCCUCAUGGGCCACCGUUCGUCGAGCGCAAAUAUGGAUGACUGUUUUUGCCGACUUCAUUGUUGGGCUUAUAAGAGUCAUCAAAUAUCACUUUGAUUAAAUUAGAGUGCUUAAAGCAAGUGUGUUACUUGGAUAUAAAUGCAUGGAAUGAUGGAAUAUGUUGUUGUUCUAUUUGUUGGUUUUUGAACGAUGAAAUGAUUGAAAGGAACUGUUGGGGGCAUUCGUAUUGUUGUGAGAGAGGUGAAAUUCUUAGACCACAGCAAGACGAACUACUGCGAAAGCAUUUGCCAAGAAUGUUUUCAUUGAUCAAGAACGAAAGUUAGAGGUUCGAAGGCGAUCA